CUUUUCCAGAAAAAUGUUUGUUUCCUAACAUUUGGGAACUGCACUAUUGAAUGCCUCUGAGUACAGCUGAGGCCAGUUCUCUAGCAAUUGGAAGUUCCACCUGUGAAUAGUCUUGGGGAAUGCCUGGUUUCAGGUUUCUGUUCAGCAGCUGCUGUGGUAGUGGGUAGAGUGUGCUGUGGGCAGGGUGGUGACAACUGAUCUUUUUGUUCUUCUGUUUGCGUGUGCAACAGCUUUCAAUAGCUUCCCAACCACACUGCUGCAUGUGUUCUUUAUUCUGCAGGAAUCUGAUUGUCACUGAUAUGCCACUGACUUGUGCUUCUGGGAAACACCUUUACCUUCAAAUGCUGCAUCCAACCCAGCCAGACGGGAGUGUCUGGCAGACUCUGGACGUCCAAGCCCCGCUGUUAGGUUUGGAAAGUCCUAUGCGGUAAAGUUGGCACCCUGGAAAAAAUAAAGACAAAAAAACACAAGAAGAAGUUCA
rnacentral:lncRNA from 1 species